rnacentral:rRNA from 1 species
GACGAACGCUGGCGGCGUGCUUAACACAUGCAAGUCGAACGAAGUGGCGAACGGGUGAGUAACGCGUAAUCAACCUGCCCUUCAGAGGGGGACAACAGUUGGAAACGACUGCUAAUCCCGCAUACUGAAUGAGGGGUUUGCGUCUGGUUAGCUAGUUGGAGGGGUAACGGCCCACCAAGGCGAUGAUCAGGAGGCGGGCUGAGAGGGAGAACGGGCAAAAUGGGACUGGGGCACGGCCCAGACUCCUACGGGAGGCAGCAGUGGGGAAACUUCCGAAAUGGAGGAAAGUCUGACGGAGCAACGGCGCGUGAGUGAUGACGGCCUUCGGGUUGUAAAGCUCUGUUAAGCGGGAAGCGGUACCGGAAUAGAAAGCAACGGCUAACUACGUGCCAGCCGCCGCGGUAAUUC